rnacentral:rRNA from 1 species
UACGUAGGGAGCAAGCGUUGUCCGGAAUCAUUGGGCGUAAAGCGCGCGUAGGCGGCCCGAUAAGUCCGCUGUAAAAGUCAACGGCUCAACUGUUGAAAGCCGGUGGAUACUGUCGGGCUAGAGUACGGAAGAGGCAAGUGGAAUUCCUGGUGUAGCGAUGGAAUGCGCAGAUAUCAGGAGGAACACCCAUAGCGAAGGCAGCUUGCUGGGACGUUACUGACGCUAAGGCGCGAAAGCGUGGGGAGCGAACGAGG